rnacentral:rRNA from 1 species
GACGAACGCUGGCGGCGUGCUUAACACAUGCAAGUCGAACGAAGAGCGAUGGACGCUUGCUUCUCUCAAUCUUAGUGGCGAACGGGUGAGUAACGCGUAAUCAACCUGCCCUUCAGAGGGGGACAACAGUUGGAAACGACUGCUAAUACCGCAUACGAUCUAAUCUCGGCAUCGAGGAUAGAUGAAAGGUGGCCUCUACAUGUAAGCUAUCACUGAAGGCGGGGAUUGCGUCUGAUUAGCUAGUUGGAGGGGUAACGGCCCACCAAGGCGAUGAUCAGUAGCCGGUCUGAGAGGAUGAACGGCCACAUUGGGACUGAGACACGGCCCAGACUCCUACGGGAGGCAGCAGUGGGGAAUCUUCCGCAAUGGACGAAAGUCUGACGGAGCAACGCCGCGUGAGUGAUGACGGCCUUCGGGUUGUAAAGCUCUGUUAAUCGGGACGAAAGGCCUUCUUGCGAAUAGUGAGAAGGAUUGACGGUACCGGAAUAGAAAGCCACGGCUAACUACGUG